rnacentral:lncRNA from 1 species
CUGCCUCAUUUGCACUCGUUCAAAGCAUCUUUUUGCUCUUUGUUAACGGAAUACUGGUAAGCAUCGUCAAUUUGAAUCAUAUACAUGUUUGUGUGUGCGUACGUUUGUGAAUGUGUAGAUCACUGGAUUGAAGAAAGACAGUAACCUGAAUGAUUUUCUCUGAUCAUGCACUAAGUGUGUGCGUACGUUUGUGAAUGUGUAGAUCACUGGAUUGAAGAAAGACAGUAACCUGAAUGAUUUUCUCUGAUCAUGUACUAAACUGCACUCUGCUUUAUGUGAUGCCUUUUACAAAUGUCUUUAUAUAUAUAUAUAUAUCUUUUUAAAGAUCUAGUGAUGAGCUGUUGUUUGCCUCUAAAUGUUCUAUGGUUCGUUUCAUUUACUUGUUCAUCCAUUUGAAGCUGG